UGAUAAGGCACCUGACUAUUACUAGUGAGUAUCAGCAUAUGGUUACCAAUUAUAUUUCAGAGUUUCUCCGUUUGUUGGCUCUGGGAAGCGGAGAAACUAAAGACCAUGUUUUAGGAAUGCUUGUGAAUUUCUCUAAAAAUCCAUCCAUGACAAGAGACCUGCUAAUUGCCAACGCACCAACAGCACUGAUCAACAUUUUUAGCAAGAAAGAGACGAAAGAAAAUAUCCUUAAUGCUCUUUUACUUUUUGAAAAUAUAAACCAUCAUUUUAAGAAAAGAGGGAAAACAUAUCCCCAAGACCGCUUCAGUAAAACCUCCCUUUAUUUCCUGUUUCAACGACCUAAAGCCUGUGCCAAGAAACUUAGAGCCUUAGCAGCAGAUUGUAGUGACCCAGAGGUGAAAGAAAAAGUUGAGGUAUUGAUAAAUAAACUCUGACUGUCUAUCUGUUUCCCCCAAAGUAUGAGUAAUGUUUUGGUUUUACCUCCUGGACAUGAUGCACAUUGUACCUUGCAUUAGAACUUUGAAACUGAUGUUGCCUACGAGGAUCUAGAGCUGGACAGUUUGAUGAACACCAAAUGAGUUCCCGCUUGUGCUGAAAAUACAUGUGUCAAUUUUUAUCUUGUCUGGAUUGAGAUAUUUUUAGUAUGCUUCAUGAGCAAAAGCCAACCGAUUCUUCAUAAGUAAGGUAAUCUUUGGUCCUUUGUGUGGACUUAUGUUUAUACAUUUGAGACUUUAUUUUUGUGUCAUCAAUAAACUUGUGUGUUUUAAGAAGCGGAAGAA
rnacentral:lncRNA from 1 species